rnacentral:rRNA from 1 species
GACGUAGGGAGCGAGCGUUGUCCGGAUUCAUUGGGCGUAAAGCGCGCGUAGGCGGCCUCGCAAGUCGGUUGUGAAAUCCCGGGGCUCAACCCCGGGACUGCGUCCGAUACUGCGAGGCUGGAGGUAGGUAGGGGAGAUCGGAAUUCCUGGUGUAGCGGUGAAAUGCGCAGAUAUCAGGAGGAACACCCGUAGCGAAGGCGGCACUCUGGGCCGGAACUGACGCUGAGGAGCGAAAGCGUGGGGAGCAAACAGG